GUGCCAGCCGCCGCGGUAAGACGAACCGUACGAACGUUAUUCGGAAUCACUGGGCUUAAAGGGUGCGUAGGCGGCGCAGAAAGUUGGGUGUGAAAUCCCUCGGCUUAACCGAGGAAUUGCGCCCAAAACUACUGUGCUCGAGGGAGGUAGAGGUGAGCGGAACUUAGGGUGGAGCGGUGAAAUGCGUUGAUAUCCUAAGGAACACCGGUGGCGAAAGCGGCUCACUGGACCUCUUCUGACGCUGAGGCACGAAAGCUAGGGUAGCAAACGGGAUUAGAUACCCCCGUAGUCC
rnacentral:rRNA from 1 species